rnacentral:rRNA from 1 species
GACGAACGCUGGCGGCGUGCUUAACACAUGCAAGUCGAACGGAAAGGCCCUGCUUUUGUGGGGUGCUCGAGUGGCGAACGGGUGAGUAACACGUGAGUAACCUGCUCUUGACUUUGGGAUAACUUCAGGAAACUGGGGCUAAUACCGGAUCGGAGCUCCUGUUGCAUGGUGGGCGUUGGAACGUCUCGGCGGUUGGGGAUGGACUCGCGGCUUAUCAGCUUGUUGGUGGGGUAGUGGCUUACCAAGGCUUUGACGGGUAGCCGGCCUGAGAGGGUGACCGGCGACAAUGGGACUGAGAGACGGCGCAGACUCCUACGGGAGGCAGCAGUGGGGAAUAUUGCACAGUGGGCGGAAGCCUGAGGCGGCAACGCCGCGUGCGGGAUGACGUCCUUCGGGUUGUAAACCGCUUUCGCCUGUGACGAAGCGUGAGUGACGGUAAUGGGUAAAUAAGCACCGGCUAACUACGUG